rnacentral:rRNA from 1 species
CGUAAAGAACUUGCCUCACAGCUAGGGACAACAUUUAGAAAUGAAUGCUAAUACCUGAUAUUAUGAUUUUAAGGCAUCUUAGAAUUAUGAAAGCUAUAUGCACUGUGAGAGAGCUUUGCGUCCCAUUAGCUAGUUGGAGAGGUAACAGCUCACCAAGGCGAUGAUGGGUAGCCGGCCUGAGAGGGUGAACGGCCACAAGGGGACUGAGACACGGCCCUU